rnacentral:lncRNA from 10 species
AAAAAACAUUGCUUUUCCCCAAUCAAAUGAGGCAUGGGCAUAAACAGAAGUAAAAUAUUACCUUUGAUGAUUGAGACAUAUCAUGUUUGGGAGACACAGGUUGCAAAUGUUUCAUUCGUGAUUUAGAGAGAUGGCCCAGUGAUCCCUGCCACCUGGUAUUCAUGUCCUUGUGGAGCCCUGUUCCAUGCUGUAUAUGGCUGACUCAUAGGACUGAUAGGAUACUGUGAAAAUGACAAAUGUGACUUCUGAGGCUAGGUCACAAAAGACAUUAUGACUUGUCUUGCUCUCUCAUGGAUCUCUCUCUCUCUGGGAGAAGCCAGCUGCCAGGUCAUGAGGUUACCCAAGCAGCCCUGUGGAGGCACUCUUAUGGGAAACUAACACUAAAUUAGCAUGAAGAGCAUACGCCUGUGAUCUCAGCUAUUCGGGAUGCAGAGGCAGGAGGAUCACAUGAGCUCAGAAGCUCAAGCCCAGCCUGGGCAACGUAGAAAGACACAGACUAAAAAAGAAAAAAAGGGAAGAAAAAAAAAGACGGAAAAAAAUUAGCAUGAACAAUUCAAGGGAGACAAGAGAACUGAGCCACCUUCCUAGCCAAGAAAAACCCCAGCUUGCAAUUUACUGAAUAGAAGUGUGCCACUUGACAGAGUAGUUUUAAUGACACUGAACCUUUUGUGAGUCUUGCACUUCUCUUGGCUGAAAUCUUCAAACUGGCUCAAAGAAGCUCCAGUCUCUUCAUUCUGUAAGUGUUGAUACCAUUUGCAUAACUACCUGUCCUUAUCCCCUACCAGGUGCCUCCUUUCCAACCUUGAACGUUUCUUCUUGAUUCAUUAUAAUUAAAGAGCUAAUGUAGCCAUUCAAGUUCACAUUGUCAAUGACCAUGUAAUCAUCUUCCCUAGUGGCCAGAAUUCCUUUCUUUUUAUG